UUCUGGAGACUCAACAUGAAGCUACCGGCCAGGGUUUUCUUUACUCUGGGGUCCCGGCUGCCCUGUGGCCUCGCUCCUCGGAGGUCUGAAAAAUGAGUAAAGAUGGAAGCCAAAGUAUCACUUUUAUUGUGGUUUGUGAGAGGAAGCUGGGCCUAUCAGCUGGAUCUCCCGAAGUAGGCGGACUUACAUAACUCUGGAGGAGGGCAGAACAUUGUCCUCUGAAGGCAGCUGGCUCCCAAAAGGAAGAAGACCAAGGAGAACUGUUCAUACCCAACGAUCCUGUCAAAAUUUACCAGUCAUAUCAACUGUCUCUGCACAGACAGAUUGUACCUCAGUCUGUGUUGCUAUAAAGGAAUACCUGAGGCUGGGUAAUUUAUAAAGAAAAGGGUUUGUUUGACUCAUGAUUCUGAUGCCUGGACAAGUUCAAGACUGGGCAUCUGCAUCUGGUGACGGCCUAAGGCUGCUUGCACUUGUGGCAGAAGUUAUGGGACAAAAAUAUUAUAUCAAAACACUGAAGCUU
rnacentral:lncRNA from 10 species